rnacentral:rRNA from 1 species
GACGAACGCUGGCGGCGUGCUUAACACAUGCCAGUCGAACGGAAAGGCCCUGCUUUUGUGGGGUGCUCGAGUGGCGAACGGGUGAGUAACACGUGAGUAACCUGCCCUUGACUUUGGGAUAACUUCAGGAAACUGGGGCUAAUACCGGAUAGGAGCUCCUGCUGCAUGGUGGGGGUUGGAAAGUUUCGGCGGGUGGGGAUGGACUCGCGGCUUAUCAGCUUGUUGGUGGGGUAGUGGCUUACCAAGGCUUUGACGGGUAGCCGGCCUGAGAGGGUGACCGGCCACAUUGGGACUGAGAUACGGCCCCGACUCCUACGGGAGGCAGCAGUGGGGAAUAUUGCACAAUGGGCGGAAGCCUGAUGCAGCAACGCCGCGUGCGGGAUGACGGCCUUCGGGUUGUAAACCGCUUUCGCCUGUGACGAAGCGUGAGUGACGGUAAUGGGUAAAGAAGCACCGGCUAACUACGUG